rnacentral:rRNA from 1 species
UGCUCCUACGGGGGGCAGCAGUGAGGAAUAUUGGUCAAUGGACGAGAGUCUGAACCAGCCAAGUAGCGUGAAGGAUGACUGCCCUAUGGGUUGUAAACUUCUUUUAUAAAGGAAUAAAACGAGGCACGUGUGCCUUUUUGUAUGUACUUUAUGAAUAAGGAUCGGCUAACUCCGUGCCAGCAGCCGCGGUAAUACGGAGGAUGCGAGCGUUAUCCGGAUUUAUUGGGUUUAAAGGGUGCGUAGGCGGAAUGCCAAGUCAGCGGUAAAAUCGCGGGGCUCAACCUCGCUCCGCCGUUGAAACUGGC